GACGAACGCUGGCGGCGUGCUUAACACAUGCAAGUCGAACGAAGUGGCGAACGGGUCAGUAAUACGAGGGUAACCUGCCGUCCUUUUUGGGAUAAGCCUUGGAAACUGGGUCUACUACCGAACAAAGGGGGCUGGGCGCGCGGCCUAUCAGCUUGUCGGGGGGGGGUUGGCCUACCAAGGCGGUGACGGGGAGCCGGCCUGGGAGGGGAAGCGGCCACAUGGGGGCUGGUGUAAGGCCCAGGGUCCUACGAGAGGCAGGAGUGGGGGGUAGUGGACAAUGUGGGAAAGCGUGAUGCAGGGUAGCCCAGUGGGGGAUGGAGGCUGUGGGGUUGUAAACCUCUUUCGCUAUCGAACGGGUUGGUGGAGCAGAAGCGCCGGCUAACUACGGGCCAGCAGCCGCGGUAAUAC
rnacentral:rRNA from 1 species